rnacentral:rRNA from 1 species
AUGGAGAUGGUGGAGAAGCUUUCUCUCACCACAAGACCACAUCCACAUCCUUACUACAUCCAAUGGUUCAACAACAGCGGCAAGGUUAAGGUAACACGUACUGUUCGUGUGCAUUUUAGUAUCUCUACAUAUGCUGAUUAUGUUGAUUGUGAUGUGGUACCUAUGCAAGCAUGUUCCUUAUUACUUGGUAGAACAUGGCAAUUUGAUAAAAAUUCUGUACACCAUGGUAGAAACAAUCACUAUACUCUUGUUCAUAAGGAUAAAAAUAUUACUUUGCUUCCUAUGACUCCUGAUUCCAUUUUGAAAGAUGAUAUUAAUAGAGCUAAUAAAGCAAAACAGGAGAAGAAUAAGAGUGAAAAUCAGAUUGUGGCAAAAGAAUUUGAGCAACAAAUGAAGCCUAAUAAUAAACCAUCUAGUGUUGCUUCUGAAAUUAAAUUGAAAAAUGCAUGUUUAUUUGCCACCAAAUCUGAUAUUGAUGAGCUAGAUUUCAGCAAAUCUGUUUGCUAUGCUUUUGUGUGCAAAGAGGCAUUAUUUUCAUUCGAGGACGUGCCUUCCUCUUUGCCUCCUGCUGUCACUAACAUUUCGCAGGAGUUCGCUGACGUUUUUCCACAAGACGUGCCACCGGGAUUACCGCCUAUUCGAGGGAUUGAGCAUCAGAUUGACUUAAUUCCCGGUGCUUCACUGCCAAACCGUGCACCAUACCGUACCAAUCCAGAGGAGACGAAGGAGAUUAUGCGUCAAGUACAAGAGCUUCUCGACAAAGGUUAUAUACGCGAAUCCCUUAGUCCUUGUGCUGUUCCUAUUAUUCUAGUGCCGAAAAAGGAUGGUACAUCACGUAUGUGUGUUGAUUGUAGAGGCAUUAAUAAUAUUACUAUUCGUUAUCGUCAUCCUAUUCCUAGGCUAGAUGAUAUGCUUGAUGAAUUGAGUGGCUCUACAAUAUUCUCCAAAGUUGAUUUGCGUAGUGGGUACCAUCAAAUUCGUAUGAAAUUGGGAGAUGAAUGGAAAACAGCAUUUAAAACUAAGUUUGGAUUAUAUGAGUGGUUAGUCAUGCCUUUUGGGUUAACUAAUGCACCUAGUACUUUCAUGAGAUUAAUGAACGAAGUUUUACGUGCUUUCAUUGGACGAUUUGUGGUAGUUUACUUUGAUGACAUAUUGAUUUAUAGCAGAUCUUUGGAAGAACAUUUGGAACAUUUACGUGCUAUUUUUAUUGCUCUACGUGAUGCACGUUUGUUUGGUAACCUUGGGAAGUGCACCUUUUGCACCGACCGAGUAUCUUUUCUUGGCUAUGUUGUUACUCCACAGGGAAUUGAAGUUGAUAAAGCCAAGAUUGAAGCUAUUGAGAGUUGGCCGCAGCCCAAAACGGUCACACAAGUGAGGAGUUUUCUUGGCCUCGCUGGAUUCUAUAGGCGUUUUGUGAGAGAUUUCAGCACCAUUGCUGCACCUCUCAAUGAGCUUACAAAGAAAGAUGUGCCUUUUCUUUGGGGUACCGCACAGGAAGAAGCCUUCUCGGUAUUGAAAGAUAAGUUGACACAUGCUCCUUUACUCCAACUUCCUGAUUUUAAUAAGACUUCUGAGCUUGAAUGUGAUGCUAGUGGAAUUGGAUUAGGCGGUGUGUUAUUACAAGAUGGCAAACCUGUUGCAUACUUUUCUGAAAAAUUGAGUGGGCCUAGUCUGAAUUAUUCUACUUAUGAUAAAGAAUUAUAUGCUCUUGUUCGGACUUUAGAAACAUGGCAACAUUAUUUAUGGCCCAAAGAAUUUGUUAUACAUUCUGAUCAUGAAUCUUUGAAACAUAUUAAAAGUCAAGCUAAACUGAAUCGUAGACAUGCUAAAUGGGUUGAAUUCAUUGAGACUUUUCCUUAUGUCAUUAAACACAAGAAGGGAAAAGAAAAUGUUAUUGCUGAUGCAUUGUCUCGCCGCUAUACUAUGCUUUCACAACUUGACUUCAAAAUAUUUGGUUUUGGAGACCAUCAAAGAUCAAUAUGUGCAUGA